UACGUAGGUGGCAAGCGUUGUCCGGAAUUAUUGGGCGUAAAGCGCGCGCAGGCGGUCCUUUAAGUCUGAUGUGAAAGCCCACGGCUCAACCGUGGAGGGUCAUUGGAAACUGGGGGACUUGAGUGCAGGAGAGAAGAGUGGAAUUCCACGUGUAGCGGUGAAAUGCGCAGAUAUCAGGAAGAACACCCGUGGCGAAAGCGGCUCUCGUGGAACGGUACUG
rnacentral:rRNA from 1 species